CACGUAGGGCGCAAGCGUUGUCCGGAAUUAUUGGGCGUAAAGAGCUCGUAGGCGGUCUGUUGCGUCUGCUGUGAAAACUCGGGGCUUAACCCCGAGCCUGCAGUGGAUACGGGCAGACUAGAGGUAGGUAGGGGAGAAUGGAAUUCCCGGUGUAGCGGUGAAAUGCGCAGAUAUCGGGAGGAACACCGGUGGCGAAGGCGGGUCUCUGGGCCGAUACUGACGCUGAGGAGCGAAAGCGUGGGGAGCAAACAGG
rnacentral:rRNA from 1 species